GUAAUGUUGAAUUAUUUUAUGCUGACAUAUGGAGUUAAAAUGGCUAAAAACCAGAAGAUUUCCAUUUCAAUGCUAUUUGUUUUAUAAUAGAAACUUCCCUUUUCUUCACCCUUCUACUUCCAGAAGGCUCUUAUUCAAUGUAUUCAGUCCUAGCCAAAAGGUCACUGUUUUCCUACAGGAGAGUCCUCCCUCCCCUUCCUGGCACCUCUGGAUGCUGUGAACGGAGCUCUCUUUCUCUGAGGCUGAGAUCUGUCAGCAGGAAGGUGCACCAUGACCCGCUGAGUGUCACCCUUCGCUCCUGCAGGUCAAGUGCAUCACCCCUGGGUGCUGCAGAAAUGUUGUGAGGAGAGGGACUGACAAUCCCUCCAGACCUCCUGGCUCUGACCCUAUAGCGCUCAGCAUCCUGACCAGCUUUCCACUGCAUUGUGCCAUUAAUCUAAAUUAAUUCAGUCUCUGACAGACAGGUCCCUAGGUAGGUGAUUUUUAGGUUUAUAUUAAAUUUCACAGCCUAGUUAUUUAAUAUUUGUAUAUGCAUUUUUCAUUGUGGACUCUCAACUUUGACAAGGCACUGAUGAAGUAACACAACCUGGAAUAUGAAGCAGUCAAGUAGCUGUUCAUUCUAACUGAAUUCUGACACUCCUAAUCACAGUAAAUACUAUAUUUAAUCUUUUUUUUUCUUACACUAUUCAGUGGGAGUUCUUAUGGUGUGACUUUCAAAUCCAUGUGAGUAAUGCUCUAUCCUGGGCUCUCUGUAAUAUUGGGAGAGGAAGUGCAGGAAGGCUGUUCUGUGAAGAAAUAAGAGACAAAAUAACCAGUAAGAAAAGCAGAGAAAGGACUCUACAGUAAGGCUACUCAGCUUGAUUUCAGUGGCUUGGGAUCAGAGACCUUUACUUGCACUGGAUGGAGGGAGUCAGAGUAGAACAAAGAGCAGCAAACCCACACUGAAGGAGGAUCUGAAUUCUAAGUGGAGAGGACAGUCUCGGACCCCACGGCAGAUAGGUUUAUGGAGAGACCAUCUGUUCUAUAAGAACUGGCUAUGAGGACAUAGAGGGACCUUCUUCUGCUUUGUAGUGUAUUUUCAUACUUCUAAAUUAAACUGUGCCUACAUGUCUUUACAACCAUUCCUCUUUCUUCACUUGCUUAUAAGAACUCAGACCAGCUCCAAGAUCUUGCUAUUCAUAGGAAACUAGCAAUGAUAUUUGAAGAAAAGAAACAAAAAA
rnacentral:lncRNA from 1 species